UUUCCGUAGGUGAACCUGCGGAAGGAUCAUUAGUGAAUUGAAUAUGUUAGCGGACCUCUUAGGAGUCCCUAGCAUCAAAUCAUAUCCAUAACACCUGUGAACUGUAAUGCUGUUUUGAAAACGAAAGUGAUUAGAGCGCCUGCCCAUUUUAUACAAACAUUAAAGUAACACACGUAGUCUUAUUAUAAGCUAAUAAAACUUUCAACAACGGAUCUCUUGGCUCUC
rnacentral:misc_RNA from 1 species